AUCCAGCUGACGAGUCCCGAAUAAGACGAAACGCGCGUUCUGGAU
rnacentral:hammerhead_ribozyme from 1 species